GAAUAUUUUUUAAUAUUAUUUUAAACUAUUCUAAUUUCAAUAACAAAAGCUAUACAACACUGGAAAUAGCACCCGGAUCAAAAUUUAUCUACAGUAGCACUUCAGGAUUUAUACGGAUUAUUUGCAAAAUAACAAACAUUAAAUAAUAAUAUUGUAAUCAGUGGAUUUUAUUGUGCCUCAAGUAAUUCAACGAGAAACCUGACAUUUCCGUGUUAAAAGAAAACCGAUAAAAUAUUGAGAGUUUAUCUACCCAUGCUGGGAUUGCCGUGAUACAAAGAUGAUGACUAUUGCAAUAAAACGUGACUUGCUUUUCAAAACAUUGGGAAAUAAAAUUUAUUUAUUUGAGUUAUUGCUAAGACGGGAUUUGGUAUACAUAAAUUAACCAAAUAUAUUGUAUACCUCACACUUAAGGACUUGCACAAAACUCGCUAUCGACUAAAAAAGAUUUAUGCUCAUUUUACAUAUUAGACAAACAUCACGCUCUGACUGAGUGUCAAUGAAGCGAAUAGAGAAGGGGUGUGUUUGUUUGAAGACAAUGAAAAAGCAAAUGAUAGCAAGAGUAGGGUUUUGACCAAGGUAUAGAUGCGUCCGAAGAAAUUAUCUACAUCUAAGAUUGGCACACCUGCCAACAGAUAUUGUCUGUUGUGCUUGGAGCCUAAGUACAGGACUACUUAUAUUUUUGAAUAAAACAUACAAAAGAACUGCAAUUGGUAAUAAAAAGCGAAACACAUAAUGCAAAUUACACAAGAACUGCGUAAAGGAUGUGUGCCAGGAUUCUUUAAAUUUCACUUUUUAAAUGUUCCUCCACUUAUGGUUGAAUGCCUAUAUAUAACGUCUUUUUUCUAAACAGGAUGUUCAUCCCACAUUAUAUGGCAAUAAAACCAAAGGAAUGGAAAAGAUUAUAAUGACUUCAAGAAUUCUUAAAAAUAAGUGGACAUUUGGUUGUUUCCAUUUUGAGAGACGUUACUUUGACGCAAGAUUCUUACAAUAGUUUUAUUAAUCGUCAAGAAAAGUUGCAUCAAAAUAUAGGAAGAAGACAUAGUCUGGUCUCUAUUGGCACUCAUGAUUUGGAUGCAAUUAAAGGUCCAUUUCUAUAUGAUGACACCAUCAAAAAUACAGUUCAAACCACUUAAUCGAGAUAAGCAGUUUUCACUAAACAAGUUGACUGACUUGAUUGGAAUAGAAAUGGCCCAGGCAGGACUUUCUCUUUGUGCUCACGUGAGAAUGUAGCGGACAAAUUGGGAUACGAAAUAGAAGAUGUACCGGCAGUUCACAUAUCCAAUCCAAAAACUUUGGAGUUUCAAAUAAAUCGACCGAUACCGCGCGCUCUUAUUAAAACCUCGGAAACAAGAGUAGUUCUAUUCUUGAUUUCUUCUUUUUAUUUGAACGAUACAUGUGUGUAAUAGAACGUAAACAGAUAUCGUUAUGCGGACGUUUAAAUAAAAAAAAAAUUUGCAAAGAA